UGUAUAUGUUCUCUUUCUCUGGUGGAUUCAGGUGGGUGAUCAGUGGACAGAACCUUCACGUCCUUGUGAGUCUUUCAGCUGUAGUCAGACAGGAACAGAGGUUGAGAAAACCGUGUGUCCGGUGCAAACCUGUGCUGAGGAUUUACGAGUGUGGGAUGAACAUCACUGCUGCUAUUCAUGUAAUAUUACAUGCACUGCCAGACUGAUAAGGAUGAACCUCACAAUUGCUGAUUGCGCACAGGAAGUCGAGCUGCCCAUUUGUGAGGGCCAGUGUGAGACACACAACAGGUGGGUUCAUACUAAUGGCACACUUCAGCUUGAACAGAGUCACCAGUGCUGUAAGGAGAGAGGUUAUGAGAUGAGAGAAACCACUCUGACUUGCAGUAAAAACUCCCCAACCCACUUCACAUACAGGCAUGUCACAGGCUGCGAAUGCAAGGUUGAAGGUUAAGUUUACCUGACAUACAAAUGUAUGAAAAUGUCAGUUAAUGUUACAUGUGAUUAACUUGGUGUGUGUGUGUGUUGUAUAUGCACACUUAAUAAUUAUCUGCUGAUGUGUGGGAUGAUUUAGUAAAUUUCAGUAUAUUUCAAGCAAAUCAACUUCAUUAAUUGUCAAUCAUCUGUCUGUGCAAAAAUCAAUGCUUUAUCGUUUAAAUAAUAAUC
rnacentral:lncRNA from 1 species